UGGGGAAUUUUGGACAAUGGGGGAAACCCUGAUCCAGCCAUCCCGCGUGUGCGAUGAAGGCCUUCGGGUUGUAAAGCACUUUUGGCAGGAAAGAAACGUCAUGGGUUAAUACCCCGUGAAACUGACGGUACCUGCAGAAUAAGCACCGGCUAACUACGUGUCAGCAGCCGCGGUAAUACGUAGGGUGCAAGCGUUAAUCGGAAUUACUGGGCGUAAAGCGUGCGCAGGCGGUUCGGAAAGAAAGAUGUGAAAUCCCAGAGCUCAACUUUGGAACUGCAUUUUUAACUACCGGGCUAGAGUGUGUCAGAGGGAGGUGGAAUUCCGCGUGUAGCAGUGAAAUGCGUAGAUAUGCGGAGGAACACCGAUGGCGAAGGCAGCCUCCUGGGAUAACACUGACGCUCAUGCACGAAAGCGUGGGGAGCAAACAGG
rnacentral:rRNA from 1 species